UGGGCGUAAGGGCUCGCAGGCGGUUUCUUAAGUCUGAUGUGAAAGCCCCCGGCUCAACCGGGGAGGGUCAUUGGAAACUGGGGAACUUGAGUGCAGAAGAGGAGAGUGGAAUUCCACGUGUAGCGGUGAAAUGCGUAGAGAUGUGGAGGAACACCAGUGGCGAAGGCGACUCUCUGGUCUGUAACUGACGCUGAGGAGCGAAAGCGUGGGGAGCGAACAGGAUUAGAUACCCUGGUAGUCCACGCCGUAAACGAUGAGUGCUAAGUGUUAGGGGGUUUCCGCCCCUUAGUGCUGCAGCUAACGCAUUAAGCACUCCGCCUGGGGAGUACGGUCGCAAGACUGAAACUCAAAGGAAUUGACGGGGGCCCGCACAAGCGGUGGAGCAUGUGGUUUAAUUCGAAGCAACGCGAAGAACCUUACCAGGUCUUGACAUCCUCUGACAAUCCUAGAGAUAGGACGUCCCCUUCGGGGGCAGAGUGACAGGUGGUGCAUGGUUGUCGUCAGCUCGUGUCGUGAGAUGUUGGGUUAAGUCCCGCAACGAGCGCAACCCUUGAUCUUAGUUGCCAGCAUUCAGUUGGGCACUCUAAGGUGACUGCCGGUGACAAACCGGAG
rnacentral:rRNA from 1 species